rnacentral:rRNA from 1 species
UACGUAGGGGGCGAGCGUUGUCCGGAUUUAUUGGGCGUAAAGAGCGUGUAGGCGGCCAGGUAGGUCUGCUGUGAAAACUCGAGGCUUAACCUCGAGAUGUCGGCGGAAACCAUCUGGCUAGAGUCCGGAAGAGGAGAAUGGAAUUCCCGGUGUAGCGGUGAAAUGCGCAGAUAUCGGGAAGAACACCCGUGGCGAAGGCGGUUCUCUGGGACGGUACUGACGCUGAGACGCGAAAGCGUGGGGGAGCGAACAGG